rnacentral:tRNA from 1 species
GGUCUUGUAUUCAAUUAUGAUAUUAAAUUGCAAAUUUAAUGGUGAGGUAUCUCUAAGGCCU